rnacentral:rRNA from 1 species
AUUUGGGAUUCUGACCAGCCUGCGAGUCGAGAGGUUCGGCCCUCGGCUGACGGCUCAGUAACACGUGGAUAAUCUGCCCUAAGGUGGAGGAUGACCUCGGGAAACUGAGAAUAAUACUCCAUAGGUCUAGGAUGCUGGAAUGCACUUAGGCUUAAAACUUCGGUGCCUUAGGAUGAGUCUGCGGACUAUCAGGUUGUAGUCAGGGUAAAGACCUGACUAGCCUACGACGGAUACGGGUUGUGAGAGCAAUAACCCGGAGAUGAUAUCUGAGACACGAUAUCAGGCCCUACGGGGCGCAGCAGGCGCGAAAACUUCGCACUGCGCGAAAGCGCGACGAGGGAAUCCCAAGUGUAUGCACGUAAGUGUAUACUGUUUCUCUGUCUAAAAAGCAGAGAGAGUAAGAGCUGGGUAAGACGGGUGCCAGCCGCCGCGGUAAUACCUGCAGCUCUAGUGGUGAUCGUUAUUAUUGGGCCUAAAACGUCCGUAGCCGGUCUUCUAAAUGCCUGGGUAAAUCGUAUGGCUUAACCAUACGAAUUCUGGGUAGACUGUUAGACUUGAGACCGGGAGAGGCUAGAGGUACUCCUGGGGUAGAGGUGAAAUUCUGUAAUCCUAGGGGGACGACCAGUGGCGAAGGCGUCUAGCUAGAACGGGUCUGACGGUGAGGGACGAAGCCCUGGGGCGCAAACGGGAUUAGAUACCCCGGUAGUCCAGGGUGUAAACGCUGCUUGCUUGAUGUUAGUCUGGCUCCGAGCCAGAUUAGUGUCGGAGAGAAGUUGUUAAGCAAGCUGCCUGGAAGUACGGCCGCAAGACUGAAACUUAAAG